CACCAGAAUCACUUGAACCUGGGAGGUGGAGGCUGCAGUGAGCCAAGAUCACUGCACUGCACUCCAGCCUGCGCGACAGAGUGAGACUCGGUCUCAAACAAACAAAAAAUAAUAAAAAUUUAAAAAUAAAGAGAUUUGGGAUUAAAUAUAAAAGUUCCUCUUGAUUUUAGAGUAACAGAACAAGAAAAGUUAUUAACUAUUCUUGUAGAAGGCAAAAUAAAACAAGAAAUCUACAGCCAUGGACUCAUAAAUCAACCACCAUA
rnacentral:lncRNA from 1 species